CUCCUGAUAGCUCAGUUGGUAGAGCGAUGGACUGUAAUGGGAAUAUAGAUAUCCACAGGUCGUGUGUUCGACUCACACUCAGGAGA